UGUCAUCAACACGGGAGUUCGGAGGUCCGCCGAGCUGAGAGUGCGUCGCGCCGACGCUGACCGUCACACCUGAUCCGGAUCAUGCCGGCGAAGGAAGGACUGUUAUUGUCG
rnacentral:ncRNA from 1 species